GAAAAAUUUCGGGUAUCAUAUUUCAACGAAAAUGUCCAUUUUGAUCGCUCCGGAAUCCAUUUAAUUUUUUUUUUUUUUUUUGGUGACAUAUAUGUGCACGACAGAAAAAAACGCUGUUUUUUCCUUCCAAAAAGGGAUUUAAAACGGAUUCAGAAGGCAUUUUUUUCCGUGAUGUCAGUACGUACGUAUCUCGCAUUACUCAAAAACGAGUAGCCGUAAAACGUUGAAAUUUUGUAUAUGGGACUAGUAUAACAUGUAGUUACGCAUCUAUCUUUUUCGCUGCAAUCGUACGCACCAAACAUAUAUAUAUAUUAUAUAUAUAAUUCAUCUUGUUACCUGGCUCGGUCAUCCGAAGCCCUGGGGCUGCGGGACGAGAACUUUUGUUCUUUGAAGUCGAGAGAGAAGGUAGGAAUUAUACUUCCUAAGACUUUGCUUGGCUUUCACCGCUACCAAGCAACAACAAAAGAUGUUGAUGCAAUGAUACAAGUUCGAAUUAAUGCUAUGGGAGGAGCUGCGAAGAGUGCUAGAAAAUUUAUCCCUUUGGGCAUAUAAUUUGGAAAAGGAAGGUCUUUCGAAAACGUUCAAGACAUUAACUACCUUCUCGCGGGAUUUAUGUUUUAAAAAAAAUGUGCAAUAAAUAAGCUGCUAUAGAC